GAUGAAGAACGUAGCGAAAUGCGAUACGUAAUGUGAAUUGCAGAAUUCAGUGAAUCAUCGAGUCUUUGAACGCACAUUGCGCCCCCUGGUAUUCCGGGGGGCAUGCCUGUCCGAGCGUCAUUGCUGCCCUCAAGCCCCCGGGCUUGGUGUUGGGGAUCGGCGAGCCUCCGCGCCCGCCGUCCCCUAAAUCUAGUGGCGGUCUCGCUGUAGCUUCCUCUGCGUAGUAGCACACCUCGCACUGGGAAACAGCGCGGCCACGCCGUUAAACCCCCAACUUCUGAACGUUUGACCUCGGAUCAGGUAGGAAUACCCGCUGAACUUAAGCAUAUCAAUAAGCGGAGGA
rnacentral:misc_RNA from 1 species